UCGAAAGGGAAUCGGGUUAAUAUUCCCGAACCCAAACUCGGAGAGUGCCCGUCUUUCGGCGGGAACGCGGCGUGCUCUUCCUAGCAGCGCGUCCAUCGUCGAAGUCGGCGGCCGGGCGAAGCAGCGGCAACGCAAGCGAGCCCGGAGACGUUGCCGGGAGCCCCGGGAAGAGGGUCGUGUAGAGAAAGAGUGAA